rnacentral:lncRNA from 1 species
UGUAGUUAAGAUGAGGUCAGCCCUUAAUCCAAUAUGUUUGAUAUUCUUAUAGGAGGAGAAGAGACACAGAGACACAGAGAGAACGCCAGGUGACAACUGAGGCAGAAGUUAGAGUGCUUCCGUCACAAGCCAAGGAACACCAGUGACUGCAGGCAAGCCACCAGAAGCUGGAAAGAUGCUGAAAAGAAUCCUCCCCUGGAGGCUUAAGAGAAAGCACCGCCCUGCCCACAUCUUAAUUUCAGACUUCUGGCUUCCAGAACUGUGAGACAAUAAAUUUCUGUUGUUUUCAGCCACCUAGUUUGUGGCACUUUGUUAUGACAGCCCUAGGAAAAUAAAUUCAAUUAGUUUGGGGAGAAAUAACAUCUUUACUAUGUUGAGUCUUCCAGUCCACGAACAUAGUAUGUUUCUCCAUUUGUGUAGAUCUUUGAUUUCUUUCAUCAGCAUUUUUUUGUAGUUUUCAGCAUAGACAUCCUGCGUAUGUUAUGUUAGAACAUCCUGUGUAUGUUGUGUAGGUUUAGUUAUACCCAAAUAUUUCCUUUUUUGUUUCUUUCUUUUUAGAGCUAUUAUAAGUAGUAUUGUGUUCUUAAUUUCAGCUUCUAAUUACUCAUUGCUAACAUAUAGGAACACAAUUGAAUUUCAUGUGUUGAUCUUAUAUUCUGUGGUCACGAGAAACUCAGUUAUUACUUCUAGGAGUUCUAUAAUAGGUGUCCAGCAUUCCUAAUGGCAUUUACUCUGAAAAAAUUAUAUUCAUUGCUAUAAAAUAUUCCAUCAUCUGGCCGGACACAGUAGCUCACGCCUGUAAUCCCAGCACUUUGGGAGGCCGAGGCAGGUAGAUCACAUGAGAUCAGCAGUUGGAGACCAGCAUGGCCAACAUGAUGAAACCCCAUCUCCACUAAAAAUAUAAAAACUAGAGAGAGUGGGGACGUCCAGCUUCAGAGCGGGAGUCUUCGUUGCGCCAGCGACUAAAAAGAGAAUUAAAUAUGGAUGAUGUUGAGAAAGGCAAGAAGAUUUUUAUUAUGAAGCAUUCCCAGUGCCACAUUGUUGAAAAGGGAGGCAAGCAUAAGACUGGGCCAAAUCUCCAUGGUCUCUUUGGGCGGAAGACAGGUCAGGCCCCUGGAUACUCUUACACAGCCACCAUUAAGAACAAAGACAUCAUCUGGGGAGAGGAUACACUGAUGGAGUAUUUGGAGAAUCCCAAGUACAUCCCUGGAACAAAAAUGAUCUUUGUUGGCAUUAAGAAGAAGGAAGAGGCCAGGCGCGGUGGCUCACGCCUAUAAUCCGAGCGCUUUGGGAGGCUGAGGCAGACGGAUCACGAGGUCAGGAGAUCAAGACCAUCCUGGUUAACACGGUGAAACCCCAUCUCUACUAAAAAUACAAAAAAUUAGCCGGGCGUGGUGGCAGGUGCCUGUAGUCCCAGCUACUCUGGAGGCUGAGGCAGGAGAAUGGCAUGAACCCGGGAGGUGGAGCUUGCAGUGAGCCGAGAUCGCGCCACUGCACUCCAGCCUGGGUGACAGAGCGAGACUCCAUCUCAAAAAAAAAAAAAGAAUUGCUUGAACCCAGGUGGCAGAGGUUGCCCUGAGCCAAGAUCAUGCCACUGCACUCCAGCAGAAAGGGCAGACUCGAUAGCUUAUCUCAAAAAAGCUACUAAUGAGUAAUAAUUGGCCACUCUCUUAUUUAUUACAAAACAGAAAUGUCUCAUGACUUUUUUAUGUGUACCAUCCUUUAAUAGAUCUCAUACACCAGAAUUCAGAUCAUGAAUGACUGACAGAAUAUUUUGUUGGGCAGUCCUGAUUUAAAACUAAGACUGGCUUGUGGUUAAAUGAGUAUGUUCAGUUUUUGAUUUUAAUAGUAACUCCAAUUCAGUAAAUGCUAUCACUGUUUACCCCUUUUAAAGAUAUGAUUAGGCUUCGUUAGUAAUGUUCAACUUUUCACAAAGAUGGUGAGUGCCAUCUUAAAACUUACUGGAGAUUGGUUUUAUAUUUAGAUUUAUAUAACUGGUUAUGUGAAUAUAUUUAAAUACUGGGGAAAUUCCUACACUGUCUUAGAACCAAGCAAGAUUCACCUGUGUUUUGUGUUCAUUUGCCUCUUAAAGGCAAGGGUUGAAGAUAAAUAAGGUAGCAAUGUCUAUAGUUUUGGCCUUAACUAUAGCAAUCUAAUUAUAAUUCCCUGUAUUUAAAAUGGUUCCUUUUACUUAUUGAAAGGCAUUUUAGUGUGGUUUAUGUGUAAUAUUAAAGAUUAUUCAACACCUCUCACAUCUUAUAGAUCUAUAAGGUCACAUGCUUUUAAAAUAGUAGCAAGUUAAACUUCACUCUUGAAUUCUUUACAAUCUAAGUCAAACUAAGUUAUAAUUUAGGAUUGUCUUUAAACAGCCAUUCAGAAACAUAAAACUGUAGAACUGUGUAUUUGUGAUUGGGAAUGGUGCUUUUGCCAACUUAAAAGGAUUAAAGUAAUGGAGAUAUACACAAAUUUUAAAAUUAUGUGUGAUUACAAGACUAAAGAUAAUUAAAAAGAAAACCACACACACACACACACACACACACAAAACUAGCCAGGUGCAGUGGUGCGCACCUGUAAUCCCAGUUACUCAGGAGGCUGAGGCAGGAGAAUGGCUUGAACCUGGGAGGUGGAGGUUGCAGGGAACUGAGAUCGAACCACUGCACGCCAGUCGGGGCGACUGAGCGAGACUCUGUCCCCCCCAAAAAAAAAUCCAUCAUCUUUCACUCUUUUUCUUUUCUUUUUUUUUCCUGAGAUGGAGUCUCGCUCUGUUGCCCAGGCUGGAGUGCAGUGGUGCAAUCUCAGCUCACUGCAACCUCUGCCUCCCGGGUUCAAGUGAUUCUCCUGCCUCAGUCUCCUGAGAAGCUGGGACUACAGGCGCCUGCCACCACACCCAGCUAAUUUUUGUACUUUUAGUAGAGACAGGGUUUCACCAUAUUGGCCAGUCUGGUCUUGAAUUCCUGACCUUGUGAUCCACCUGCCUCGGCCUCCCAAAGUGCUGGGAUUACAUGUGUGAGCCACCGCACCCGACCUCUUUUUUUUUUUUCUGAGACAGAGUCUGGCUCUGUCGUCCAGGCUAGAGGGCAGUGGCUCCAUCUCGGCUCACUGCAACCUCCGCCUCCCGGGUUCAAGCGAUUCUCCUGCGUCAGCCUCCCGAAUAACUGGGACUACAGGCGCACACCACCAUGCCCAGCUAAUUCUUGUAUUUUUAGUAGAGACACGGUUUCACUAUGUUGGCCAGGCUGGUCCCCAACUCCUAACCUUGUGAUCCGCCCGCCUUGGCCUCCCAAAGUGUUGGGAUUACAGGUGUGAGCCACCUCGCCUGGCCAUUCACUCUUAAUAUGUUUUACCAAUUGCCUCCUGUUGGGCAUUUAUGUUGUUUUCUUUUAUUGCUGUUAUUAUUAUUACUAUAAUGAUGGAAUACAUUUCAGAUGCUAGGACAUAAACCUUUGACCCCUUUUUAAAUUAUGUCAGAGGAGAGAUUCCUAGAAAUGGGAUUAGCAGGCCGAAAAGCUGAACCCUUCUCAAGUCCUACACACGAUUGAGCUGCUUGUCAGAAAGAUCAAGCAUGUUUCCCAUUCUCAUCAGCAACACGUGAGAGGACUCAGUGGGCGGAAACACGGCCAGCACUGAGACUGGUCAUUUAAAAACUCUGCCAAUUGGGCCGUGUGUGGUGGCUUACACCUGUGACCCCAACACUUUGGGAGGCCCAGGCGAUUGGAUUACUUGAGGUCAGGAAUUCGAGACCAGCCUGGUCAACAUGGUGAAACCCCGUCUCUACUUUAAAAAUACAAAAAAUUAGACGGGUGUGGUGGCACUUGCCUAUAAUUCCAGCUACUCAGGAGGCUGAGGCAGGAGAAUCAAUUGAACCUGGAAGGCAGAGGUUGUGCGUCUAAAUGACUAAUAACCCGUACCUGCUUCACAGACUCACUGUGAUGAUUUAAAGAUUUAUGGGGGCCACAAACAGUGGCUCGCAGAAGUAAUCCCAGUACUUUGGAAGGCUAAGGUGAGAGGAUCGCUUGAGGCCAGGAGUUGGCAGGAGACCCAAGUCAACCCAUAACAGACAGCAUUACAAACAAUGAAGGAUGGCUUGAGGUCAGGAGUUCGAGACCAGCCUGGGCAACUUAGUGAGACCCCUGUCUCUACAAAAAAUUUAAAAACAAGCAGGCAGAUCACUUGAGGUCGGGAGUUCGAGACCAGCCUGACCAACAUGGAGAAACCCCGUCUCUACUAAAAAAUAUAAAAUAAGCCAGGCGUGGUGGCGCAUGCUUCUAAUCCCAGCUACUCGGGAGGCUGAGGCAGGAGAAUCAUUCCUCUGCCCCUCCCCCAGCCCCUUUCACUCUCAUUCAACCAUCCAUUCACCAAACUUUUGCUGAGCGCCAAGGUCCCCUUAGGCCCUGGUGCGAAGCUUGUGGGUGUGGAGAAGAACAAAACAAAGCCUUGGAGGCUUCCCACAAAUCUCCGGCUUGGUGUUGGCCCCUUUCCCCUAGCCCACCUCCACCCC